AUAUUAAUGUUCAAAUUUAUUAUUUGUCUAGUUAUCUAUGGCGUUGUGCUGCUGUUACGUGUUGUUUCGUUGAUGGCUGGGCACCGGAAUACUACACGACUACGUAUGCUGCCCCUGCCUACUACACAGAGGCCCCAAAUUACUGCAAUACCGAAGCGCCCAAUUACUACACUACAACCUACGCUGCCCCGAGCUACUACACCGCCACCCCGAAGUAUUACUCUUCGUAAAAGGAGUCGUCUA